GGCCCCGUAGCUCAGGGGAUAGAGCGUCGGUUUCCUAAACCGUGCGUCGCAGGUUCGAAUCCUGCCGGGGCCAC
rnacentral:tRNA from 1 species